AGUGCUUUGGCACUUGUGGGGCAGGGCUCCUCCCAGCAGAAGUGGUCUGGGUAGUGGCAUCUCACUCCGCAGCUGACACAAGCCAUUCCUGUCACAUGUCUGCUUCCUUAUGCCUGACAGUCUCGCCCACCUUCCUUAGAGUUUGUUCUUAGUGACUGUUGUGGUCAGGAAGUUCUUCCUAAUAUCUAUCCAGUAUCCCUCCUGCUAUAUCAUCUCCCUUUUCUCAGACAUGACAACUAAAAAGUGCUUAAAAAGUUGAGUAUAGUAAUAUGGAUUCUGAGUAGCUGGAGAGCCCGGAUAUUAGUGAACUCCUCCUUUGAGAGCAUUACAGUUCUUCCAUCCUAACUCUUCUGGAAAGCAGUCCUGCUAAGAUGGGAUUCUGACAUGAUCUGCAUGGAUGGCUCAGGGCAUGGUCGUGAGUUUAUCAGUCAUUGUGCCAGGCCACGGCUCUGUGCGGCUCUUAGGGAGGCUCUAGAUGGCUCGAUUCUUCACUGGUCUCUCUGAAGUUUAUUUCACUCUGUGGCUGUCACUACUCUGACCUGGCACAUUCGCUCCCGUUUAUUCUGGAACAACUAAGAAAACACAGCCAGGGACAGAUGUGCAAAGUAACAGUCACCAGGCCCUGGGUCCGGGCCAGAGGCCCCUAUGGCCCCGGCUGUUGUGUUGGGCUGCCGGGCACAGGCUGCUCAGAGACUUCAGGUUUGUCCUCCUCAUGGUCAGAGAUGUAGGGGACAGCACCCACCUGGCCUGUCUGGCCAAACGAGCAGGGGUCAGGUGUGCUUACUGUCUCCCACCACAGGGUUCUUCUUUCUGGGCUUUAGAACCCAAACCCCAGUGUGACUGGGGCCAGGAAGAUGGGGUGGCAAUGUGGGCCCUCGCAAGGGGAAGGAGGCUCCGUCUGUGAGGCCGUGUUGUGUGCCAGGCCCACGCAGCUGGCCUUCACAGGCAGGGGAGGGGACUGCAUGCUCCUUUGACCCUGGAGAUCCUCAGAUGGGAGGCCCACGUCCUUGCUCAAGCCAGACUGUGCCUAACCCUUGCCAGGCAGGCUCAGGGGCCCAGGCGGCCUGGCCCCUGCAGUUGGGCGUCAGUGGCCUGUGGCAGUAUCUCUGUCCCCGGCCCUCAGGGUGACCAUUCACUCACCUCCUGUCCAGGACAAAGCAAUCAUGGAGAUUCUGGCCUCAGCGGGAAACGUCAUCACCCUGACCCUCAUUCCCACUGUGAUCUACGAGCACAUGGUCAAAAAGUAAGGAGCGCCCUCCUCGUCCCCCCGCCCCCGAGGCCACCUGCUGAGCCACCCUGGCUUUUCCAAGGCUGACCCAGGGGGCAGGCCCGGCUUGCCCCUCCUCCUCUCUCUUCCCCUCUCUCCAAGGUGGCUGGUGGCUUCUGGGGACCUAAAAGUUUUAGAACAGGGGUGAAUGCCCCCCUGGGGUACACAGGCUUGGGGCUGGGCAGGGAGAAGGAGCUUCCAGUGUCCACCACUGUCACCAUUGCCACUGUCUAGGUUGUCCCCGACGCUUCUCCACCACACCAUGGACCACUCCAUCCCAGAUGUCUGAAGCCACAGGAGGCAGCUCAGCCAUCCCACCCUCCUGCAGGAAAGGGCAGUGACCUCUUGGAUGACAGGUUGCAGCUGGCUGCCUCCUGGGGUGGGGUCUUGAGGGGAGCAUGUUUCAGGUGGGUGGCACUGGAUGGCGUGAGUCUGUCACUCAUGCACGGAGGUCUCUGGGAGUCUCCCUCCUAACCGGGCCACGGCCCCAGCAGUACCCAAUGCAGCCCAUUCUCUGCACUUAUUUACACGUUGGGCACGUGGACGGGCCAGCCAGACGACUCUUAGAGUUGUAGCUGAGUCCUUGGACUUUGCCUCUGCCAGGGAAACAGCCCCGCAGUUUGAGAGACAGAACCACAUUUUCCUUGCUUUUUGCUGCAGACUGAGCACAGAUCGUCAGUUACGACCCUUGACUGUCUUUUGAAUAAAGAUUUGAUUGGA
rnacentral:lncRNA from 1 species